ensembl:lncRNA
GUUUGAAACUUUCAUGUUUUAAAGUUGUUGUUUUUUUUUUCAUUUAAAAUUAUAAAACUUACUCUGAUAAGUAAAUUUUACAAUCUUCAGUGAUCCAUUGAGUUGGGACUGUCUAGAUUCCAGAAGAGUACUGAUAGCACCUAGGACCAAAUUUUCAUUGGGCACUGACGACAAGGAUGAGAAUACCAAUAUGGUUGUGACUGUUGCUGCACCAGUCACAUUUGUUGACAAUGUUUUGGGUAUGUUUGAAGUUUCUGGUUGCAAACUUGAAGUACUUUGAAGUGUUGCAGAUGCAUCUGCUUUUGUUGCAUUGUUUAGAGGUGUAGUAUUGCUAGAAAGAGUUUCAGCUGGUGUUGUUUUGAUUGAUGAUUGACUUGGAAUUGUAGAUGCUGGGGAUGUUGAUGCAUUUGUGUUUGAAACUGAUGUUAUUGGAGCUAUUGGAAAUUCUGCUGCACUGGUGAGACCUGUAUUAAUUCCAGUUGUAGUUGUUGAUGCAGUUGUAGUUUCUGAAUCCAUGUUUGGGAUUGGAGUUGUUUUGGUUGAAAGUGCAAGUGUGGCUGGAGCAGAAGAUGUGUUGGUAAAAGCUACAGUUGUUCUUAAAAGAUCUCCUGUUGUUACUUGAAAUGCAGUUGUUGUUUGAGCUGCAGUUGAACUUGGAAUAGUGGCUGUUGUUGUGGUUGGAGCUGUAGUUGAGAUAUCAGCUGGAACUGUAGUGGUGGGAAGAACAGUCAUGGUUGUAAUGGGUGUAGUUGGGGUUCUUGGAGGUUCAGUUGUUUUUAUUGGAGUUAAAGUUGGGGAUAUAGUUACAUGUGAUGAUGAGAUAGGCAUAAUUGUUACAGCAAUAGUUACAGUCUCCGGAGACACAGUUGUGAUAAUUGGAGGUGCAUUUGUUGUGGUAAGGAGUCCUGCUUGGCUUAGAGCUGGAGCUGUAUUAGUGAAAGCAAUAGUUGUGGUUGAUAGAGGUGCAGUUGUUAUUCGGAAUGCAGUUGUUGUUGCCGCUGUAGGUGUGUUUGUGCCUGGAAUUGAAGUUGAGGUUUGAGAUGGAUUUUCUGUUGUGGGAUAGUUAUUCGUAGAAGAGGAAGCUGUAAUGGUGGAUGUUGCAGGUGCAGGAGUACUUUCUGAAGUUGUAGACAUUGUUGGUGAAGUAAGAGUUGAGGUUUCAGUAGUUGUGGCUGGGGUUAAACUUGAUGUAGUAGUUGAAUAUUCCAUCAUGGUUGUGGAAUCUGUGGUUACAGCAGGUGAAGUUAUACUUUCUGAAUUUGUGUUCGGACCUUUUGAUGUUGUACUUGCAGCCUUAGGUGUGGUUUGAUCUGAUGUAGAAGUGGAAGGAAUGGUUGUGGUGAUGGAAGCUGUAGUUGUGGUUGUUGCAAGAGAAGCUGCUGUUGUCGUUGAAGCUACAGUGGUAGUUGUGGACGUUGUAGUUAUCGAUGUUGUUGGUGCAGUUGUGGUUUCUGAAGUCAUUUUGGUGAUUGUGAGUGUUUCAGUAGUUGCAGGUGCAAGUGGCAUUGUGGUUUGAGCUGUUGUUGCACUUGGAGCUUCAGAUGACAUUGGAGCUGAUGUCAUAGAGGAAGGUACAUUUAUAGAUGAGGAAGCUGUAGUUACUGAUGUUGUUACAGGUGCAGAUGUUUCUGAAGAUGUAGCCAUUGUUGUUGAAAUUACAGCUGUUGAUGUUGUUGGAUAAUUAGUUGCUGUACCUCGAGAUUCAGAUGAGGUUGGAGAUGAUGAUGUAGUAGUAGAAUGCACUAUCGCAGCUGAGGAAGCUGUAGAUGUUGAAGAUGCAGUUGUAAUUUCGGAAGCUGUAGUCACAGUAGUGGAUGGCCCCACUGUGGCUGUGGAAGCUGCAGUUGUGCUUGCUGCAGGUGUAGUUGUACUUUCUGAUGUUGUAGGCAUUGUUGUAGACGUAAGAGUUGUUGCUCCUGAAGUCACAACAGUGGAUGUGAGAGCUCCAGUAGAUGUGGUUGCAAGCAGCAAUGUGGUUUUAGAUGUUGUUGUACUUGGAGCUUCAGAUGACAUUGGAGCUGAUGUCAUAGAGGAAGGUACAGUUGUAGGUGAGGAAGCUGUAGUUACUGAUGUUGUUACAGGUGCAGUUGUUUCUGAAGAUGUAGGCACUGUUGUUGAAGUGAGAGUUGAGGAUUCUGAAGUUACAGCUGUUGAUGUUGUUGGAGUGUUCUUUGCUGUAAAUAUAGUUGAUGAAGCCGUAGUCAUAGCUUCUGCCGUUGUACUCUCUGAAGUUGUAGGCACCACUGUCGAAAUGAUAGGUGUGGUUUCUGUUCUCACAACCGUGGUUGUGGGAAUAUAGGUUUUUGAGGAUACUGUAGUUACUGAUGUUACAGUUGCAGUAGAUUCUGAAGAUGUAGGCUUAGCUGUUGAAGUAAGAGUUAUGGAUUCAGUACUCACAACUGUGGUUGUGGGAAUUUCAGUAGUUGAGGAUGCUGUAGUUACUGAUUUUGUUAGAGGUGUAGUUGUUUCUGAAGAUGUAGCUAUAACUGUUGAAGUAGGAGUUGUAGAUUCAGAAGUUACAAAUGUUGAUGUUGUUGGAUUGUUCGUUUUUGUAGGUGUGGUUGAUGAAGCUGUAGUCAUGGUUUCAGCUGUUGUACUCUUCAAAGUUGUGGGCAACACUGUUGAAGUAAUAGGUGUGGUUUCUGUACUCACAGCUGUGGUUGUGGAAAUUUUGAUAGUUGAGGAUGCUUUAGUUACUGAAGUUGUUACAGGUGCAGUUGUUUCUGAAGAUGUAGGCAAUGUUGUUGAAGUGAGAGUUGAGGAUUCUGAAGGUAUAACUGUUGAUGUUGUUGGAUUGUUUGUUGUUGCAGGUGUGGAUGAUGAAGCUGUAGUCGUGGUUUCUGCUGUUGUACUCUCUGAAGUUGUAGGCACCACUGUUGAAGUAAUAGGUGUGGUUUCUUUACUCACAACUGUGCUUGUGGGAAUUUCAGAAGUUGAGGAUGCUGUAGUUACUGAUGUUUUUACAGGUGCAGUUGUUUCUGAAGAUGUAGGCACUGUUUUUGAAGUGAGAGUUGUGGAUUCUGAAGUUACAAAUGUUGAUGUUGUUGGAUUGUUUGUUGUAAGUGUGGUUGAUGAAGCUGUAGAUGUGGUUUCUGCUGUUGUACUCUCUGAAGUUGUGGGCACCACUGUUGAAGUAAUAGGUGUGGUUUCUGUACUCAUAACUGUGGUUGUGAGAAUUUCAGUAGUUGAGGAUGCUUUAGUUACUGAAGUUGUUACAGGUGCAGUUGUUUCUGAAGAUGUAGGCAAUGUUGUUGAAGUGAGAGUUGAGGAUUCUGAAGGUAUAACUGUUGAUGUUGUUGGAUUGUUUGUUGUUGCAGGUGUGGAUGAUGAAGCUGUAGUCGUGGUUUCUAGUGUUGUACUUUCUGAAGUUGAAUGCACCACUGUUGAAGUAAUAGGUGUGGUUUCUUUACUCACAACUGUGCUUGUGGGAAUUUCAGAAGUUGAGGAUGCUGUAGUUACUGAUGUUUUUACAGGUGCAGUUGUUUCUGAAGAUGUAGGCAAUGUUGUUGAAGUGAGAGUUGAGGAUUCUGAAGGUACAACUGUUGAUGUUGUUGGAUUGUUUGUUGUUGCAGGUGUGGAUGAUGAAGCUGUAGUCGUGGUUUCUAGUGUUGUACUUUCUGAAGUUGAAUGCACCACUGUUGAAGUAAUAGGUGUGGUUUCUGUACUCAUAACUGUGGUUGUGAGAAUUUCAGUAGUUGAGGAUGCUUUAGUUACUGAAGUUGUUACAGGUGCAGUUGUUUCUGAAGAUGUAGGGACUGUUGUUGAAGUGAGAGCUGUGGAUGCUGAAGUUACAGCUUUUGAUGUUGGAUUGUUUGUUGUUGUAGAAAUUGUUGAUGAAGCUGUAGUCGUGGUUUCUGCUGUUGUACUCUCUGAAGUUGUAGGCACCACUGUUGAAGUAAUAGGUGUGGUUUCUUUACUCACAACUGUGCUUGUGGGAAUUUCAGAAGUUGAGGAUGCUGUAGUUACUGAUGUUUUUACAGGUGCAGUUGUUUCUGAAGAUGUAGGCACUGUUUUUGAAGUGAGAGUUGUGGAUUCUGAAGUUACAAAUGUUGAUGUUGUUGGAUUGUUUGUUGUAAGUGUGGUUGAUGAAGCUGUAGAUGUGGUUUCUGCUGUUGUACUCUCUGAAGUUGUGGGCACCACUGUUGAAGUAAUAGGUGUGGUUUCUGUACUCAUAACUGUGGUUGUGAGAAUUUCAGUAGUUGAGGAUGCUUUAGUUACUGAAGUUGUUACAGGUGCAGUUGUUUCUGAAGAUGUAGGGACUGUUGUUGAAGUGAAAGUUGUGGAUUCUGAAGGUACAACUGUUGAUGUUGUUGGAAUGUUUGUUGUUGUAGGUGUGGUUGAUGAAGCUGUAGUCGUGGUUUCUGGUGUUGUACUUUCUGAAGUUGAAUGCACCACUGUUGAAGUAAUAGGUGUGGUUUCUGUACUCAUAACUGUGGUUGUGGGAAUUUCAGCAGUUGAGGAUGCUGUAGUUACUAAAAUUGUUACAGGUGCAGUUGUUUCUAAGGAUGUAGGCACUAUUGUUGAAGUGAGAGUUGAGGAUUCUGAAGUUACAGUUUUUGAUGUUGGAUUAUUUGUUGUCGUAGAUAUCGCUGAUGAAGCUGUAGUCAUGGUUUCUGCUGUUGUACUCUCUGAAGUUGUGGGCACCACUGUUGAAGUAAUAGGUGUGGUUUCUGUACUCACAGCUGUGGUUGUGGGAAUUUUAGUAGUUGAGGAUGCUGUAGUUACUGAAGUUGUUACAGGUGUAGUUGUUUCUGAAGAUGUAGGCACUGUUGUUGAAGUAAUAGUUGUGUAUUCAGAAGUUACAGCUGCUGAUAUUGGAUUGAUUGUUGUUGUAAGAGUGGUUGAUGAAGCUGUAGUCGUGGUUUCUGGUGUUGUACUUUCUGAAGUUGUAGGCACUGUUGUUGAAGUGAUAGUUGUGUAUUCAGAAGUAACAGCUGUUGAUGUUGGAUUGUUUGUUGUUGAAAGUGUGGUUGAUGAAGCUGUAUUCGUGGGUUCUGCUGUGGUACUCUCUGAAGUUGUGGGCACCACUGUUGAAGUAAUAGAUGUGGCUUCUGAACUCAGAACUGCGCUUGUGGGAAUUUCAGUAGUUGAGGAUGCUGUAAUUACUGAUGUUGUUACAGUUGCAGUUUUUUCUAUAGAUGUAGGUACUGUUCUUGAAGUUAGAGUUGUAGAUUCUGAAGUUACAAAUGUUGAUGUUGUUGGAUUGCUCGUUGUUGUAGGUGUGGUUGAUGAAGCUGUAGUCGUGGUUUCUGCUGUUGUACUCUCUGAAGUUGUAGGCACCACUGUUGAAGUAACAGAUGUGGUUUCUGAACUCACAGCUGUGCUUGUAGGAAUUUCAGUAGUUGAGGAUGCUGUAGUUACUGACGUUGUUACAGGUGCAGUUGUUUCUAUAGAUGUAGGCAAUGUUGUUGAAGUGAGAGUUGUGGAUUCAGAAGUUGCAGCUAUUGAUCUUGUUGGAUUGUUUGUUGUUGUAGGAGUGGUUGAUGAAGCUGUAGUCGUGGUUUCUACUGUUGUACUCUCUGAAGUUGUAGGCACCACUGUUGAAGUAGUAGAUGUGGAUUCUGAACUCAAAACUGUGGUUGUGGGAAUUUCAAUAGUUGAGGAUGCUGUAGUUACUGAUGUUGUUACAGGUGCAGUUGUUUCUAUAGAUGUAGGCAAUGCUGUUGAACUGAGAGUUGUGGAUUCUGAAGCUACAGCUGUUGUUGUUGUUGGAGUGUUUGUUGUUGAAGGAGUGGUUGAUGAAGCUGUAGUCGUGGUUUCUACUGUUGUACUCUCUGAAGUUGUAGGCACCACUGUUGAAGUAGUAGAUGUGGAUUCUGUACUCACAACUGUGGUUGUGGGAAUGUCAGUAGUUGAGGAUGCUGUAGUUAUAACUGUUGAAGUAAGAGUUGUAGAUUCUGAAGCUACAGCUGUUGUUGUUGUUGGAUUGUUUGUUGUUGAAGGAGUGGUUGAUGAAGCUGUAGUCGUGGUUUCUACUGUUGUACUCUCUGAAGUUGUAGGCACCACUGCUGAAGUAGUAGAUGUGGAUUCUGUACUCACAACUGUGGUUGUGGGAAUUUCAGUAGUUGAGGAUGCUGUAGUUAUAACUGUUGAAGUAAGAGUUGUAGAUUCAGAAGUUACAGAUGUUGAUGUUGUUGGAUUGUUUGUUGUUGUAGGAGUGGUUGAUGAAGCUGUAGUCGUGGUUUCUACUGUUGUACUCUCUGAAGUUGUAGGCACCACUGUUGAAGUAGUAGAUGUGGAUUCUGUACUCACAACUGUGGUUGUGGGAAUUUCAGUAGUUGAGGAUGCUGUAGUUACUGAUUUUGUUAGAGGUGUAGUUGUUUCUGAAGAUGUAGCUAUAACUGUUGAAGUAGGAGUUGUAGAUUCAGAAGUUACAAAUGUUGAUGUUGUUGGAUUGUUCGUUUUUGUAGGUGUGGUUGAUGAAGCUGUAGUCAUGGUUUCUCCUGUUGUACUCUCUGAAGUCGUAGGCACCACUGUUGAAGUAAUGGAUGUGGUUUCUGAACUCACAACUGUGGUUGUGGGAAUUUCAGUACUUGAGGAUGCUGUAGUUACUGAUGUUGUUACAGGUGUAGUUGUUUCUUUAGAUGUAGGCAAUGUCGUUGAAAUGAGAGUUGUGGGUUCUGAAGUUACAGCUUUUGAUGUUGUUGGAGCAUUUGUUGUUGUAGGAGUGGUUGAUGAAGCUGUAGUUGUGGUUUGUACAGUGGUGGUUUCUACAGUUGUACUCUCUGAAGUUGUAGGCAUCACUUUUGAAGUUGUAGAUGUGGAUUGUGUACUCACAACUGUGGUUGUGGGAAUUUCAGUAGUUGAGGAGGCUGUAGGUAUAACUGUUGAAGUAAGAGUUGUAGAUUUAGAAGUUACAGAUGUUGAUGUUGUUGGGUUGUUUGUUGUUGUAGGUGUGGUUGAUGAAGCUGUAGUCGUGGUUUCUAAUGUUGAACUCUCUGAAGUUGUAGGCACCACUGUUGAAGUAAUAGAUGUGGUUUCUGAACUCACAACUGUGGUUGUGGGAAUUUCAGUAGUUGAGGAUGCUGCAGUUACUGAUGUUAGAGUUGUAGUUGUUUCUGAAGAUAUAGCCAUAACUGUUGAAAUAGGAGUUGUAGAUUCAGAAGUUACAGAUGUUGUUGGAUUGUUCGUUGUUGUAGGUGUGGUUGAUGAAGCUGUAGUCGUGGUUUCUGCUGUUGUACUCUCUGAAGUUGUAGGCACCACUGUUGAAGUAAAAGAUGUGGAUUCUGAACUCACAACUUUGGUUGUGGGAAUUUCAGUACUUGAUGAUGCUGUAGUUACUGAUGUUGUUACAGGUGCAGUUGUUUCUAUAGAUGUAGGCACUGUUGUGGGAGUGAGAGUUGUGGAUACUGAAGCUGCAGCUGUUGAUGUUGUUGGAUUGGUUGUUGUUGUAGGAAUGGUUGAUGAAGCUGUAGUCGUGGUUUCUGCUGUUGUACUCUCUGAAGUUGUAGGCAUCAUUGUUGAAGUAAUAGAUGUGGUUUCGAUCGCCACAACUG